GACGAACGCUGGCGGCGUGCCUAAUACAUGCAAGUCGAACGCAGGGGGGACGGGUGAGUAACACGUGGGUAACCUCCCAUAUGAGGGGAUAACACUUGGAAACAAGUGCUAAACCGAUACUGAUGGAUGCACCCGGGGGGGAUUAGCUAGUUGGAGAGGUAACGGCUCACCAAGGCGACGAUGCAUAGCCGACCUGAGAGGGUGAUCGGCCACACUGGGACUGAGACACGGCCCAGACUCCGACGGGAGGCAGCAGUAGGGAAUCUUCGGCAAUGGACGAAAGUCUGACAGAGCAACGCCGCGUGAGUGAAGAAGGUUUUCGGAUUGUAAAGCUCUGUUGUUAGAGAAGCGGUAUCUAACCAGAAAGCCACGGCUAACUACGUGCCAGCAGCCGCGGUAAUUC
rnacentral:rRNA from 1 species